rnacentral:ncRNA from 1 species
CAUAGGCAGUGGCUUGGUUAAGGGAAUGGAACCCAUCAGAGUUGUAGCAAAAGCGAGUCUUAUUAGUGUCAUUGCUUAUGGAUUCGAACCUAGUUGAUCUAUCCAUGACCAGGAUGAAGCUUGAAAGAAACUGAGCAGAGGUCCGAGUCAAUUGAUGUUGAAGAAUUAGCGGAUGAGUUGUGGUUAGGGAUGAAAUGUCAGUCUAACCUAGAGCUAGAUGG